AGAGGAGCGGAAAGCAUGGUCCGGGGGGCGGCGGACGCCUGGUAGGCGCUCGGGCCGUUGUUGUGGGGCUGCGCGCUGGCGCUGCAGGGCGGGAUGCUGUACCCAAGAGAGAGGCCGUCGCGGGAGCGGAAGAAGCUGGACCGCCUCUGGAGCUUCCGCGCCGACUUCUUCGACAAACUGUGCCUUGGCUUCUAGGAGUAGUGGUAUCGGCGUCUGCUGCGAGAGUCGGGCUCCACCAUGGACAUACCGGUUCCCUCCAGCUUCAACGACGUUGGCCAGGACUGGCGGCUGCGGCAUUUUGUAGACCAGAUGUGGUACGAACGGGAGGUGACCUUCCUGGAGCAAUGGACCCAGGACCUGCACACAAGAGUGGUACUGAGGAUUGUCAGUGCCCACUCCUAUGCCAUCGUGUGGGUGAAUGGGGUCGACGCGCUAGAGCAUGAGGGAUCUACCUCCCCUUUGACACCGACAUCAGUAGCCUGUUCCAGGUGGGGCCCCUGCCCUCCCGCCUCCGCAUCACUAUCACCAUCGGCAACAUGCUCAUCUCCUCCACCCUGCCACCAGGGAGCAUCCUCGACAUGGCCGACACCUCCACGUGGGUACCAUCCUGCUUCCACCGCAGACACCCACCUUCCUGUCCCACCCCGUGGGGCAUUACAUUAGGGUAAUUACAUUAGGAGAACUUGUUGUUUAAAAGAGUGUGGCACCUUCAUCCCCCUUUUUCCUUUCUUGCCAUGUGACACACCAG
ensembl:lncRNA GUSBP5 GUSB pseudogene 5